rnacentral:tRNA from 1 species
GGCACCAUAGCCAAAUGGCAAGGCAUGGGUCUGCAACACCCUGAUUACCGGUUCGAGUCCGGUUGGUGCCU